rnacentral:misc_RNA from 1 species
UGAGAAAAAGAAAAUAGGGAAAAGAUAGACAUAAAAUAUAUGUAAAUUAGUCAUAAUUAUUGUCGGCCACAUGUAAAAAGUAAAGGCCAUUAAAUAAAGAAGAAAAAAGUAUGUCGGCCAUUUGGCCAAAGUCUAUUUUGUUUUUUGUAAAAAAGUUGUAAAGUAAAUAGUGUCAGUAUCCUAUUCAUGAAUAGUAACCAUGAAUAGUAAGAGUCAAGUUACUGUG